AGUGAACGCUGGCGGCGUGCCUAAUACAUGCAAGUCGAACGGAGAGGCGCACGGGUGAGUAAUGUAUAGGUAAUCUGGCCUAAACUAGAGGGAAACAGUUGGAAACGGCUGCUAAUACCCUCAAUUGCAGGAUGUGGCGCUAUUGUAUCAUCUAGUUGGUGAGGUAAUGGCUCUCCAAGGCUAUGACGCAUAACUGGUCUGAGAGGAGGAUCAGGCACCCUCGACGUGAGACACCGUCGAGACUCCUAGGAGAGGCGGCGGUAGGGAGUCUUGCCCAUUGGGGGAAACCCUGAAGCAGCAACGCCUCGUGGAGGAUGACCCGUUGCGGAGCAUAAACUCCUGUUGUUAGGGAAGCGGUACCUAACGAAUAAGCACCGGCUAACACCGUGCCAGCAGCCGCGGUAAUAC
rnacentral:rRNA from 1 species